ACGGGAGAACUGGCAACGCCAGUGCCGAAGGAGCAACCGCCCCGGUAAACUCUCAGGCUUCAGGACCGCCGC
rnacentral:ncRNA from 1 species